CAAUAGCGUAUAUUAAAGUUGUUGCAGUUAAAAAGCUCGUAGUUGGACCUUGGACCUGGACAGGCGGUCCGCCUCACGGCGUGUACUGUCUUGCUGGGUCUUUCCUCUUGGUGAUCUGUUGUUUCGGCAGCAGGGAACCAGGACUUUUACUUUGAAAAAAUUAGAGUGUUCAAAGCAGGCUCGACGCCGGAAUAUAUUAGCAUGGAAUAAUAAAAUAGGACGUGCGGUUCUAUUUUGUUGGUUUUUGGAAUCGCCGUAAUGAUUAAUAAGGACAGUCGGGGGCAUUAGUACUCACAUGCUAGAGGUGAAAUUCUUGGAUUUUGUGAAGACUAACUUCUGCGAAAGCAUUUGCCAAGGAUGUUUUCAUUAA
rnacentral:rRNA from 1 species